rnacentral:rRNA from 1 species
UACGGAGGGGGCUAGCGUUGUUCUGAAUUACUGGGCGUAAAGCGCGCGUAGGCGGAUCUGCAAGUCGGGGGUGAAAUCCCGAGGCUCAACCUCGGAACUGCCUUCGAUACUGCGGGUCUCGAGUCCGGGAGAGGUGAGUGGAAUUCCUAGUGUAGAGGUGAAAUUCGUAGAUAUUAGGAAGAACACCAGUGGCGAAGGCGGCUCACUGGCCCGGUACUGACGCUGAGGCGCGAAAGCGUGGGGAGCAAACAGG